rnacentral:rRNA from 1 species
AGAGUUUGAUCCUGGCUCAGAUUGAACGCUGGCGGCAGGCCUAACACAUGCAAGUCGAGCGGUAACACAAGGGAGCUUGCUCCUGAGGUGACGAGCGGCGGACGGGUGAGUAAUGCCUAGGUAUCUGCCCAGUCGAGGGGGAUAACAGUUGGAAACGACUGCUAAUACCGCAUACGCCCUACGGGGGAAAGGAGGGGACCUUCGGGCCUUCCGCGAUUGGAUGAACCUAGGUGGGAUUAGCUAGUUGGUGAGGUAAUGGCUCACCAAGGCGACGAUCCCUAGCUGGUCUGAGAGGAUGAUCAGCCACACUGGAACUGAGACACGGUCCAGACUCCUACGGGAGGCAGCAGUGGGGAAUAUUGCACAAUGGGCGAAAGCCUGAUGCAGCCAUGCCGCGUGUGUGAAGAAGGCCUUCGGGUUGUAAAGCACUUUCAGCGAGGAGGAAAGGUUAAGUCUUAAUACGGCUUAGCUGUGACGUUACUCGCAGAAGAAGCACCGGCUAACUUCGUGCCAGCAGCCGCGGUAAUAC